rnacentral:lncRNA from 1 species
CCUUCCCUCCCACCCACUCAGCCCUGUGUGCUGGCAACCCACGCUACGCAACUAGCUCUUUGCAUAGGGUUAUCUGAAGUUUGAGAAGCACUCUGCUGAAGAGUGGCAAAGGACAUAAGAAGAGACCUGUUUUAUCAGACAAAAGGUACACCUAAGUCUCGCAUCCUGCUUCCCACAGUGGCCUAUCAGAUGCCUCAGGAAAACUCAUGGGCAGAGUCUGAACCCUCUCCUCUUGUGAUAUGCACUGAGUGCAUUACUUAAGAAUUAAAAGAAGGCAGUCCAGCGUAGUGUAUUUUUAACAGCUUUAAUCACAAGCUGUUCAAAAGCUGUAGCUUAUUUGCAGCGUAUUUAUAUGUUACGCACUUACUUGCUAAAUGUAGUUUUCUGCACCGACACAGAUUUACAAAUGGCAUAAUAUAUGCGGCUUCAUAUAUCAAUCUGUGUGCAUCCUUGUUAAGUGUCACAUUUUAUAAUUGCCGUUUGAGCCAGGCUUCUCCUUGUAGGGAUUAUAUUGGGACAAAGAAAUUAAAUGUUGCAGCUGAUGACUUUGGUUACGCAACUCAUCAUAUUCCUUGAGACACUCAAUUAUUGAGUUUUCAGAACAACCAGAAGUGGCAUGUAGUAAAUAAACAUUAACUGUUUAGGGGGGGUUUUUGGUUGUUGUUUUUUUGUUGUUGUUCACAAACAUUAUGUUGUGUUUUGCUGAAACUGCUCAUAAUGGCAACAUGUUCCACUGAUGUUGAAAUUACAUUUCCUAACUGACUAUAUUAAACUGUUCUACUGGAACAUGGUUGUACAAAUGCAACAUGAUUAAAGUCUUGAUGCAGAUGAAAGGGAAGUUGAAGUGACAGAGAAUAUUUAUGUUUAACUGUUAAACAGGGAUGCAUGUAGCAGGAACGAGAAUGUAAUUAUCUUUAGAGCAGCAAUUGCUGCUGCUGCUUGUUUCUGGGUUCUGCAUUAUGCUACUCUUGAAGACAGAUGGGGAUUUCAAAAGAAAAGGGAGAAACUGGGUUUUGAUUAUUGAGUUGAAGGGCUAACAAGUGUUUUCUUCCCCUGUUGCAUAUCUAACUUUAAAAUAGUUUUGGAGCAUUAAUUUAAGUUGCCAGCAUAUGUUGUCUUGCAGAAUUGAUGGACACUUGAGGCUGAACUAGAUUAUAUUGGGGAGGUGUGAAUCCGUCCAUUUAAGUUUCUCUCAAUUUCUUCUUUUUUCCAAUCUUAAAUUCAGAUCUCCACAUUUCCACAUCAGUUUGCAAUAAAAAAAAUUCUUCAGGAAAAGUAAUCAGCGUUUCAGUGCAAAUUUCUCCUCACAGACAAAUUUGGUACGUGAGUUUGCCUAAUAGUCACAAUUUUGGAAAGCAUUUCCCCCUAAUAUAAUGCAUUUUGUAUGUUGCUUUCAAUACUAGAUGCACUUAUUUGCACACUUUGUACCACUGGAUGUGGUUUUUUUGUACACACUACUUGGUAACAGAAUUGCAUUGCCAAUAUUGGAGAAGUGAAAAUGUCAAAGGACGGCUGUGUUUAAGUUCCAGAAUCAAAUGUCUUCCCACUCCAUCAUAUGUGUAGUUAUGUUCCCAUAUCUGUUUUUAAAUAAAUAAAUAACCACAGCCCUAAUAGGUGCUCCUUCCUUCACACAAUGUUAAUCACACACAGGAAGAAGUGGGGACGCUCCCUUGGCCUCCUCCAUCACAUUCUCAGUUGUACUCCACAAGUUGGAAGUUAACGGUAUGUCGCGAGAAGCUUGUUCCCCUAGUUUUGAAACCCUAAAUUCAGAAGACGCAGAUGGGAGCCUUCAUGAGCCAAGAAAACUCUUUGCUAGAAAUGGCUGCCCUUCAACUCGUGGAGAAUGACUGGAAACUAGGGAUGGAAUUAUCUCCAUCAAUUUAUACACCACUUAAUUACAAUAGUCUCUAAGUGGUGUACAAUUAACUCAAUAAAUGAAAAUGAAAAUCAGAGGAAGCCAUAAACUCAGAAUCUUCUUAAAAUGUCUGCUGGAAUAAAAGUAGAGUCUUCAUUUAGUACCGGAAGUUCAACAGGAAGGGGGCCUGUCUGACCUCAGUUGCAAGGGAGUUCCAUAAAACUAUUGUCAGGAACUGGACUGAGGGCGAUGAGACUGAGGAGGAAUGGUGGAGACCGCCCCCCAAACUUCCCAGAAAGGGAGUAUUGAAUUACAGCAGUGGUUUGAGGAAAGUCACAGCUCAGAGACAGGUGAACAGAAGAGUUGGGAGGUGGUGGGAGAAGAGAAGGGGGAGACAGAGACAGAGCAGCCAGCUGACACGUUAUCACUGGAGAGCAUUUCUGAUGCCCACCUUCUCCCAGAACCCAGCGUGCAUUGAAAGUGGAAGAGCAAAGGACUCAGAGACAAUUAACCCCUGGCGGCCACCGUAAGGGAAAGUGUUGUUGCUAGGAAGAGAAGGGGGAAAGGAGUUCAGUUGGAGCAACUCCAUUUUUAGGAAGGCUGCAUUCCUUUGUCAUUCUCUGUGAAUUAUUGAAUAAAUGGCUUG